rnacentral:rRNA from 1 species
GACGAACGCUGGCGGCGUGCUUAACACAUGCAAGUCGAACGGAAAGGCCCUGUUUUUGUGGCGUGCUCGAGUGGCGAACGGGUGAGUAACACGUGAGUAACCUGCCCAUGACUGUGGGAUAACUUCAGGAAACUGGGGCUAAUACCGGAUAGGAGCUCCUGCUGCAUGGUGGGGGUUGGCAAGUGUCGGCGGUGGGGGAUGGACUCGCGGCUUCUGAGCUGGUUGGUGGGGUAGUGGCCUACCAAGGCUUCGACGGGUAGCCGGCCUGAGCGGGUGACCGGCAGCCAUGGGACUGAGGUGAGGCCCAGAAGACUACGGGGGGCAGCAGUGGUGAAGAUUUCACAGUGGGCGGAGGCAGGAUGCAGGAGCGCCGCGGGCGGGAUGUCGGACUUCGGGUUGUAAUCCGCUUUCGCCUGUAACGAAGCGUGAGUGACGGUAAUGGGUAAAGAAGCACCGGCUAACUACGUG